AAUGACAUAGUUUAUAUAAAAUACUAGCUUGUGGUGUUAGAGAUGCCUUGUGGGGGUUGUGUUG
rnacentral:tRNA from 1 species